UGCUGUUUAAACUCACUGUAACAUCUUUGGAUAUCUUGUGAACAAUCAUACCACAGCUGUAUUCAUUUAAAAAAAUGAAUCACGCUGAUUUUAAUGUUCUUAAAUAGUAAAAUAUGAUUUUACAAAUCCUCACGAAUUUAUUCACGUGUCGAAAGUGCUUCUUCAAAAUCUAAGUUUCACUCACUGUCAUUGGAAGGAGCAUGUCAAACUACAGCAGUGCUUUUCCGUUUGUUGGAAUUGUUUAAUCUGGUUAGUUUAUUUGUCGGUUUUUCUGUCUGUGAAGAGUGACUUGAGUGUAGUUGUAGAGUCGUAUGCUGACUGUCAUCAGUAAUGUCAGCGUACAGACCGCUGCUGCGUUUACUCAGGCGCGGGACAGCAGCAGCGCGGGUCUGUAGGACAGUCACCACCUGGUCACCUGUAGGAGCUGCUUUCAAUGCCAAAGUUCAGAGGAGACUAGACCUUUUCCAACAAAAUGUGGGGUUGUUUGGUGUCCCAGAGCUCAGCUCCAUUGAGGGUUUUGAGGUGGUCCAGGACAGAGCCCUGCAGGAGACAGAACAGCUGGUGGAGAAAGCCUGCCACUGCCCCCCAGGAGUCCAGACUGUGGAGAUAUUUGACAAACUGUCAGACAGUCUAUGCAGAGUGGCAGACAUGGCAGACUUUAUUAAAGUGGCACAUCCCAAUCCAUCCUACCGGGAGGCUGCAGAGAGGACUUGUAUAAACAUUGGCACUAUGGUGGAGAGGCUCAAUACCAAUGUUGAAUUGUGUAAGAGCUUAAAGGACCUGUUGGAUAACAAAGAGAUCUUUGCCAAACUGGACUCAGAGACAAGAAGAGUGGCUGAACUGUUCAUGUUUGACUUCGAAAUAAGUGGAAUCCAUCUGGAUGAAAAAAAGAGGAAAGAGGCUGUGAACUUGAAUGUGAAGCUGUUGGAUCUGAGCAAUCAGUUUCUCAUGAGCUGUCACAUGCCCAACAGAAUAGAGAAGAGAGUCCUUCCUGAACACAUUCACCAGCACUUCAGUAAAGACGGAAAGUACAUUCAGAUCAGCGGCCUGCAUGCGGACGCGCCUGAUGAUCUGGUCAGGGAAGUUGCGUAUAAAAUUUUCCUCUAUCCAAAUGCAAAUGUGAUGCACAUACUUGAGGAACUGCUGGCCUGUAGAGAUAAACUGGCUCGCCUGGUUGGUUAUGAAUCUUAUGCACACAGAGCUUUAAAGGGAACCAUGGCCAAAAGCCCAGAGGCAGUUAUGAGCUUCUUACAGCAGAUCACAGACAAGCUCUCAGACAGGACGGUAAAGGAUUUUGAAAUGAUGAGGGAUAUGAAGACAAAACUCAACCCCAGAAAUUCUGAACUAAUGCCUUGGGACCAUCCGUACUUCAGUGGUGUGAUACGUGCAGAAAGAUUUAACAUCGAGCCAAGCCUGUACAGUCCGUACUUCUCGCUGGGAGCGUGCAUGGAAGGUCUGAACGGUCUUUUCACACAGCUGUAUGGCGUAUCACUGCUGGCUGAGCAGCCCAGUGUGGGGGAGGUCUGGAGCGAAGAUGUGCGCAAGCUGGCUGUGGUGCAUGAAACAGAGGGACUGCUGGGAUAUAUCUACUGUGACUUUUUCUACAGACCUGAGAAACCUCUUCAGGACUGCCACUUUACCAUUCAUGGAGGGAGGCAGUUGGAUGAUGGCCAGUAUCAGUUGCCAAUGGUGGUCCUGAUGCUAAACCUGCCCCACCCCACGCGGUCCGCUCCUACGUUACUCAGCCCGGGCAUGAUGGAAAAUCUCUUCCACGAGAUGGGCCAUGCCAUGCACUCCAUGCUGGGACGUACCCGCUACCAACAUGUGACGGGAACGCGAUGUAGCACUGAUUUUGCAGAGGUGCCCUCUAUUCUCAUGGAAUACUUUGCCACAGAUUAUCGAGUGAUCAGUCAGUUCGCUCGCCACUACCAGACAGGACAGCCUUUGCCACAGAGCAUGGUGGCCCGUCUUUGUGAGUCCAAGAAAGUCUGUGGUGCAGCUGACACUCAACUUCAGGUUUUCUAUGCAGUCCUGGAUCAAGUUUAUCAUGGAAAACCACAAAACCGAUCAACUACAGACAUCAUGAUAGAUAUGCAGAAAAAGUAUUAUGGCCUGCCAUACGUCACAAACACAGCCUGGCAGCUGAGGUUCAGUCAUCUUGUCGGCUAUGGGGCGAAGUACUACUCGUACCUGAUGUCAAGGGCUGUGGCCUCCAUGGUGUGGAAGCAGUGUUUCUAUAAAGACCCCCUCAACAGGGAAACCGGAGAGCGUUACCGUAGAGAGAUGCUGGCUCAUGGAGGAGGGAAGGAGCCCAUGCUGAUGGUGGAAGAGGUGACCUGUGCAGGAAAGAGGGGGAAGGGAGGAGGGCCUAUUUACAUUGGCAGCUCUACAAGGGGAAAUGAGCAGACUUCAAAGCGCCAGCAGAGAAGAAUUGUAAAUCAAGUGUGCACAGUUUAACAGGACAGCACACUGUUAUUGGCUGCACUGCGUUCACUGAGCAGGGCAGAAGCAGAAAUGUGUCAACCUGUGGAAGACGAUAUUGUCUUAAUGCAUGUUGCAGAAAAGACCCUCCAUCGAGGACUUUGUCAACGCCCUCGUGUCUGAUCUGGACCCUGACUUUGAAACCUUCAUCAUGGACUCAGAGGGCUGAGAGAUGAGCAUGUUUCAUGUUAAACAGUGUGACUUUAUCUUCCCUGCUGUAAUUGGUCUUUACAACUGGCUGAACUAUUAAUGUAUUGAUGUAUUGAGAAGGGAUGAAUUCAUAAAUUCAUGAAACAAAAUUGAAUGAUCUGUGCUAGUGAAUUUCACAAAACCUGUCAAGAACUUGUGUGUGUUUGUAUAAAUAAAUAUAUAUGUAUGUAUAGAAA